rfam:Tupaia chinensis contig31304, whole genome shotgun sequence.
GGCUGGUGAGAAAGGCACCCUCACCCAAAGAACUGGGCCAAGUCGGGGGGUUAUGGGGGCCCAGAGGAGAGGGGGAACUGAAAUC